UGUGGGAGCGAGCCUGCUCGCGAUAGCGUCGGAUCAGCCACAUCGAAGUCAACUGGUACAUCGCUAUCGCGAGCAGGCUCGCUCCCACA
rnacentral:sRNA from 1 species